UCGAGAAUCUUCGGCAAUGGGGGCAACCCUGACCGAGCGACGCCGCGUGGUGGAUGAAGGCCUUCGGGUUGUAAACACCUGUUGGGGGGGAACAAUACUGAGUGAACCCCUGAGGAAGCACGGGCUAAGUUCGUGCCAGCAGCCGCGGUAAGACGAACCGUGCGAACGUUACUCGGAAUCACUGGGCUUAAAGAGCACGUAGGCGGCAACAUAAGUCAGAGGUGAAAUCCCAUCGGCUCAACCGUGGAACUGCCCCUGAUACUGUGUUGCUUGAGGGAGAACGGGGCAUUCGGAACUUCCGGUGGAGCGGUGAAAUGUGUUGAUAUCGGAAGGAACGCCGGUGGCGAAAGCGGAAUGCUGGGUCUCUUCUGACGCUGAGGUGCGAAAGCUAGGGUAGCGAACGG
rnacentral:rRNA from 1 species